GGUGCGUGCGAGGAGUAAACAAACCCCGCCCCCAGGCCACCCAAAGAGAGGAGGGGGCGGUGAGGUGAAGGGGCGGGACCUGAAGCGCUCAGCCAGGGUCUCCAGUUGCCUGCGGGAGCUUCUCAGUGGGUACCUCGCGGUGACCGGAGCCGUCCGCUUUCCAGCUGCCUGCGGCACAAUGAAACAAAAAUGAGCAAGACAGAAAAAAAAAAAAAGACAAAAACAACACCUCCACUCUCAAGUCUAACAGGAGAAAUGGAUUGUAAACCACUUCAGUACAAUGUGUAAACAACCAUGACAGACACAUAGAGCACUUGCACUAAUCUGGCAUCCUGUUGUCACACCUAAUCAUCCAGUGACUGACAGAAGAAAAACCACUUAAAAGGAAAAUGUGUUAAAUCAAGGCCUUGUCUUCCAGAGACUGUCCUCUAAGCUUUGAAAUUUCCUCACGCCAGGGGCACUGCCUUCUCCUAAGCUCAUUUCUGGAAUGACUUACUUGGUUUGGCCAG